rnacentral:lncRNA from 1 species
GGUCAAACCAGAGCUGUAGCCACCGGCCUGCGCCAGAGCCACAGCAACGCGGGAUCCGAGCAACGUCUGCAACCUACACCUCAGCUCACGGCAAUGCCGGAUCCUUAACCCACUGAGCAAGGCCAGGGAUCGAACCCGCAACCUCAUGGUUCCUGGUCGGAUUCGUUAACCACUGCGCCACGACGGGAACUCCAAAGAAGCCUGAAUGUUUUUUAAAUGAACGUGGACUUGGGAGGUCUUCCAUGAAAAGCUGGUGCCUUUUCCACAGGUGUCUUUGCUGUCUUCUUUUGGGGAAACGGACUCAACUCUGCCUUCUGUCUGUGUGCCUGCGGUCCGCAACCACAGGAAGACCUGUGGCCACAGUGCAGAGGAUGCUGUGACACUCACAGUGUUUUCUUUUCUCUCAUCACAGGUGGACGGGAUGGACGAUGAAAGCCUAUGUUUCAUGGAGAGUCUGAGUGACAGCAACCAUGAUGAAAGUGAUACAGGUAAGAACAGCUCUCAGGUAGGAGCCAAUGGGAGAGGGAUCCCGGGACACUUGGGUGACGCCUGCUGCUUGGAGUGUGGGGCAGGUGAGUCUGAAACUUAAAAACAGAAAGAAAUUGAUGUAAAGAUGUUCACCGCCUACUUUAAUAAGGAGAGGGAGCAGAUAUGAGAUGCCUGAAUGUUGGCAUCUGUGCUCACCUUGUGUGGAAGGGUCUCAGUCCAUGGAGCAGAGGGAAGGUCUGGGCACCUGGAGGAAAAACCAGGGUGAUGCUCUGUACCCGUAGUCACCUCAGGGAAGCCGGAGAAACGGGAGGGCCACUCUUUC